rnacentral:rRNA from 1 species
AUUGAACGCUGGCGGCAUGCUUUACACAUGCAAGUCGAACGGCAGCGCGGGGCAACCUGGCGGCGAGUGGCGAACGGGUGAGUAAUAUAUCGGAACGUACCCAGAAGUGGGGGAUAACGUAGCGAAACUUACGCUAAUACCGCAUACGACCUACGGGUGAAAGCGGGGGAUCGCAAGACCUCGCGCGAUUAGAUGAGCCGAUGUCCGAUUAGCUAGUUGGCGGGGUAAUGGCCCACCAAGGCGACGAUCGGUAGCUGGUCUGAGAGGAUGAUCAGCCACACUGGAACUGAGACACGGUCCAGACUCCUACGGGAGGCAGCAGUGGGGAAUAUUGGACAAUGGGCGCAAGCCUGAUCCAGCCAUGCCGCGUGGGUGAAGAAGGCCUCGG